CGGAGGAUCCAAGCGUUAUCCGGAAUCAUUGGGUUAAAGGGUCCGUAGGCGGUUUAAUAAGUCAGUGGUGAAAGCCUAUCGCUUAACGAUAGAACGGCCAUUGAUACUGUUAGACUUGAAUUAGUGGGAAGUAACUAGAAUAUGUAGUGUAGCGGUGAAAUGCUUAGAUAUUACAUGGAAUACCAAUUGCGAAGGCAGGUUACUAUCACUAUAUUGACGCUGAUGGACGAAAGCGUGGGGAGCGAACAGGAUUAGAUACCCUGGUAGUCCACGCCGUAAACGAUGGAUACUAGCUGUUCGGAGCAAUCUGAGUGGCUAAGCGAAAGUGAUAAGUAUCCCACCUGGGGAGUACGUUCGCAAGAAUG
rnacentral:rRNA from 1 species